rnacentral:rRNA from 1 species
AACGAACGCUGGUGGCAGGCUUAACACAUGCAAGUCGAGCGCCCCGCAAGGGGAGCGGCAGACGGGUGAGUAACGCGUGGGAAUCUACCCAUCUCUACGGAAUAACGCAUGGAAACGUGUGCUAAUACCGUAUACGUCCUUCGGGAGAAAGAUUUAUCGGAGAUGGAUGAGCCCGCGUUGGAUUAGCUAGUUGGUGGGGGAAAGGCCUACCAAGGCGAAGAUCCAUAGCUGGUCUGAGAGGAUGAUCAGCCACACUGGGACUGAGACACGGCCCAGACUCCUACGGGGGGCAGCAGUGGGGAAUAUUGGACAAUGGGCGCAAGCCUGAUCCAGCCAUGCCGCGUGAGUGAUGAAGGCCCUAGGGUUGUAAAGCUCUUUCACCGGUGAAGAUAAUGACGGUAACCGGAGAAGAAGCCCCGGCUAACUUCGUGCCAGCCGCCGCGGUAACAC